rnacentral:snRNA from 1 species
UUGAUGUGGGUGGUGGUAAUAGGG